rnacentral:lncRNA from 1 species
UUUGGAGUCUACUCAUCCAGCUCCAGCUCCCAGGACAGCGGAAACUUUUCGUGGUCGGGUGGUUCCCAAAGCCUGGUAAGAACACACCACUCCUGCAAAGGGAAGGAAAUAGGAUAUUACAGAUUUGCAACAUAAGUCGGAAGCGCUAAUGAUUAACGUUACACGAUAUAUGCAGGACGAUGUAGAAGCAGAGAUGAGAAGGCUCAAGCAGGAGCUCAAACAGACAAUGGACAUGUACAGCACAGCAUGCAAGGAAGCACUCACAGCCAAACAGAAAGUAAUGUUAUAAACUUUGUAUUGGAUUUCCUAAACAUAUACAAUAUGAAAACCGAAAAAGAGUAGCUGAAUAUUUUCAUUAAAAGAUGAUAAAAUAAGGGGGGAUAUGAACGUCUUUGUAGGCACUAGAGCUUCAUCGCUGGAAAGUAGAAGAACAACAGAGACUUGAGGAGGCACGACAAGCUGAGGAAGCAGCAUUAGCAAUUGCAGAGAUGGAGAAAGAAAAAUGCAGGGCUGCUAUCGAGAAAGCAGAAGCAGCUCAGAGAAUAGCUGAACUCGAAGCACAAAAAAGAAUCAAUGCUGAAAUGAAGGCACUGAAAGAAGCAGAGGAGAAGAAGAAAGUGCUAGACAAGUUGGCACAAAGUGAUGUUAGAUAUCGCAAGUACACCAUUGAGGAGAUCGAAUCAGCCACAGAGUACUUUGCAGAAUCUCGUAAAAUUGGGGAAGGUGGAUAUGGGCCAGUUUACAAGAGCUGCCUAGAUCAUACACAAGUUGCAAUAAAGGUUCUUCGCCCGGAUGCAGCCCAGGGAAGAUCACAGUUUCAGCAAGAGGUGGAAAAGUUCUAUGCACUAAAUUCAACCUAUAAAAUCUCAAUAAAAAUUCUUACAUGAAUACUUGGUGAAGACGUAAAGUAAUCUCUGUUUUUUCUACAAAAAGCAACUAAACCAAAUUAACAAACAAGUGGAACUCAUCUAACUCAACCAUAACUUGUUGAAACAGCUUGUGAAAAUAGGAUUUCAGAUGCUGAAAAACCAUGCCUGAUUUAAAGGAAAAGUGAUAUAGGUUCUCGAUUUUGUUCCAACAACAGGCUCAACUCCUGGUAGUUUAACUCUUUCUGUUGAAUGCCACGAUGCAGGUUGAAGUUCUGAGUUGCAUUCGACAUCCUAACAUGGUUCUCC